UAACACGUGGGCAACCUGCCUGUAAGUUGGGGAUAACUCCGGGAAACCGGGGCUAAUACCGAAUGAUAAAGUGUGGCGCAUGCCACGCUUUUGAAAGAUGGUUUCGGCUAUCGCUUACAGAUGGGCCCGCGGUGCAUUAGCUAGUUGGUAGGGUAAUGGCCUACCAAGGCAACGAUGCAUAGCCGACCUGAGAGGGUGAUCGGCCACACUGGGACUGAGACACGGCCCAGACUCCUACGGGAGGCAGCAGUAGGGAAUCUUCCGCAAUGGACGAAAGUCUGACGGAGCAACGCCGCGUGUAUGAAGAAGGUUUUCGGAUCGUAAAGUACUGUUGUUAGAGAAGAACAAGGAUAAGAGUAACUGCUUGUCCCUUGACGGUAUCUAACCAGAAAGCCACGGCUAACUACGUGCCAGCAGCCGCGGUAAUACGUAGGUGGCAAGCGUUGUCCGGAUUUAUUGGGCGUAAAGCGCGCGCAGGCGGUCUUUUAAGUCUGAUGUGAAAGCCCCCGGCUUAACCGGGGAGGGUCAUUGGAAACUGGAAGACUGGAGUGCAGAAGAGGAGAGUGGAAUUCC
rnacentral:rRNA from 1 species